rnacentral:rRNA from 1 species
GAUGAACGCUAGCUACAGGCUUAACACAUGCAAGUCGAGGGGCAGCAUGGUCUUAGCUUGCUAAGGCCGAUGGCGACCGGCGCACGGGUGAGUAACACGUAUCCAACCUGCCGUCUACUCUUGGACAGCCUUCUGAAAGGAAGAUUAAUACAAGAUGGCAUCAUGAGUCCGCAUGUUCACAUGAUUAAAGGUAUUCCGGUAGACGAUGGGGAUGCGUUCCAUUAGAUAGUAGGCGGGGUAACGGCCCACCUAGUCUUCGAUGGAUAGGGGUUCUGAGAGGAAGGUCCCCCACAUUGGAACUGAGACACGGUCCAAACUCCUACGGGAGGCAGCAGUGAGGAAUAUUGGUCAAUGGGCGAGAGCCUGAACCAGCCAAGUAGCGUGAAGGAUGACUGCCCUAUGGGUUGUAAACUUCUUUUAUAAAGGAAUAAAGUCGGGUAUGGAUACCCGUUUGCAUGUACUUUAUGAAUAAGGAUCGGCUAACUCCGUGCCAGCAGCCGCGGUAAUACGGAGGAUCCGAGCGUUAUCCGGAUUUAUUGGGUUUAAAGGGAGCGUAGAUGGAUGUUUAAGUCAGUUGUGAAAGUUUGCGGCUCAACCGUAAAAUUGCAGUUGAUACUGGAUAUCUUGAGUGCAGUUGAGGCAGGCGGAAUUCGUGGUGUAGCGGUGAAAUGCUUAGAUAUCACGAAGAACUCCGAUUGCGAAGGCAGCCUGCUAAGCUGCAACUGACAUUGAG